GUGAUUGCAAAGCAUGUUCUAGAAGUCCAGCUAAAGAUGGUUAUAAGGAUCUUGAAAUUGUUCAGGAGCAUAGGAAGACUGAGCAUGCCGAUAGUGAUGAGAUUUGUCUUAUCGAUGUGACAACUGUCUACCCUGUUAGUCAUGGACAAUUGGAUUGUCCGACUUGUUCUCCUCUUGGAGC